rnacentral:rRNA from 1 species
CAAUAGCGUAUAUUAAAGCUGUUGCGGUUAAAAAGCUCGUAGUUGGAUUUCUGUCAAGGACAACUGGUCCGCCCUCCGGGUGAGCACAUAGUUUGGUCUUGGCAUCUUGCUGGAAAAUGUUGCUGCACUUGGCUGUGUGGCGCAGCGUCCAGCACUUUCACUUUGAGGAAAUUGGAGUGUUUCAAGCAGGCACAUGCCUUUGGACACAGUAGCAUGGAAUAAUUAGAUUGGGCUUUUGCUCCAAUUUGUCGGUUUCUGGAGCUGAGGUGAGAAUUAAUGGGGAUUGUUGGGGGCAUCCGAAUUUAGCCGUCAGAGGUGAAAUUCUUGGAUCUGCUAAAGACGGACAACUGCGAAAGCGUUUGCCCAGGAUGUUUNCAUUG